rnacentral:rRNA from 1 species
GAUGAACGCUAGCGGCAGGCCUAAUACAUGCAAGUCGGACGGGAUCCAUUGAUAGCUUGCUAUCAAUGGUGAGAGUGGCGCACGGGUGCGUAACGCGUGAGCAACCUGCCUCCAUCAGGGGGAUAGCCUCUCGAAAGAGAGAUUAACACCGCAUAAUAUCAACAGUUCGCAUGUUCAGUUGAUUAAAUAUUUAUAGGAUGGAGAUGGGCUCGCGUGACAUUAGCUAGUUGGUAGGGUAACGGCUUACCAAGGCGACGAUGUCUAGGGGCUCUGAGAGGAGACUCCCCCACACUGGGACUGAGACACGGACCAGACUCCUACGGGAGGCAGCAGUAAGGAAUAUUGGUCAAUGGGAGGAAGCCUGAACCAGCCAUGCCGCGUGCAGGAUGACUGCCCUAUGGGUUGUAAACUGCUUUUGUCCAGGAAUAAACCUAAAUACGAGUAUUUAGCUGAAUGUACUGGAAGAAUAAGGAUCGGCUAACUCCGUG